AAUCAACGCUGGCGGCGUGCCUAACACAUGCAAGUCGCACGAGAAAGGGGAGCAAUCCCUGAGUAAAGUGGCGUACGGGUGAGUAACACGUGACUAACCUACCUUUUAGUGGGGAAUAACCUAGGGAAACCUGGGCUAAUACCGCAUAACACCUACGGGUCAAAGCAGCAAUGCGCUGGAAGAGGGGGUCGCGGCAGAUUAGUUAGUUGGCGGGGUAAUGGCCCACCAAGACAGUGAUCUGUAUCCGGCCUGAGAGGGCGGCUCGGACACACUGGAACUGAACACGGUCCAGACUCCUACGGGAGGCAGCAGUGGGGGAAGUUUUGUCGCAAUGGGGGGAAACCCGUGACGCAGCAACGCCGCGUGGAGGAUGAAGUCCCUUGGGACGUAAACUCCUUUCGAUGGGGAAGAUAAUGACGGUACCCAUAGAAGAAGCCCC
rnacentral:rRNA from 1 species